AUUGAACGCUAGCGGGAUGCUUUACACAUGCAAGUCGAACGGCAGCGCGGACUUCGGUCUGGCGGCGAGUGGCGAACGGGUGAGUAAUGUAUCGGAACGUGCCCAGUAGCGGGGGAUAACUACGCGAAAGCGUAGCUAAUACCGCAUACGCCCUACGGGGGAAAGCAGGGGAUCGUAAGACCUUGCACUAUUGGAGCGGCCGAUAUCGGAUUAGCUAGUUGGUGAGGUAACGGCUCACCAAGGCGACGAUCCGUAGCUGGUUUGAGAGGACGACCAGCCAAAGGGGAACUGAGACAAGGUACAGACCGCGAAGGCAGGCAGCAGGGGGGAAGCUUCCGGAAGGGGCGAAAGCCUGACGGAGCAACGGAGCGUGAGUGAUGAAGGGCUGCGGACCGUAAAACUCGUGGAGGAGGGAAGAAAAAAUGUGGAAGUAACGAUGCACGUCUUGACGGGAGCUAAUCAGAAAGCCACGGCUAACUACGUG
rnacentral:rRNA from 1 species